GACGAACGCUGGCGGCGUGCUUAACACAUGCAAGUCGAACGGAAAGGCCCUGCUUUUGUGGGGUGCUCGAGUGGCGAACGGGUGAGUAACACGUGAGUAACCUGCCCUUGACUUUGGGAUAACUUCAGGAAACUGGGGCUAAUACCGGAUAGGAGCUCCUGCUGCAUGGGGGGGGUUGGAAAGUUUCGGCGUUUGGGGAUGGACUCGCGGCUUAUCAGCGUGUUGGUGGGGUAGUGGCUUACCAAGGCUUUGACGGGUAGCCGGACUGAGAGGGUGACCGGCCACAUUGGGACUGAGAUACGGCCCAGACUCCUACGGGAGGCAGCAGUGGGGAAUAUUGCACAAUGGGCGGAAGCCGGAUGCAGCAACGCCGCGUGCGGGAUGACGGCCUUCGGGUUGUAACCCGCUUUCGCCUGUGACGAAGCGUGAGUGACGGUAAUGGGUAAAGAAGAACCGGCUAACUACGUG
rnacentral:rRNA from 1 species